AUUGAACGCUGGCGGCAUGCUUUACACAUGCAAGUCGAACGGUAACAGGCCUUCGGGUGCUGACGAGUGGCGAGCGGGUGAGUAAUGCAUCGGAACGUACCCAGAGGUGGGGGAUAACGCAGCGAAAGCUGUGCUAAUACCGCAUGUGAUCUGAGGAUGAAAGCGGGGGACCGAGCAGCAAUGUUUGGCCUCGCGCCUUUGGAGCGGCCGAUGUCGGAUUAGCUAGUUGGUGGGGUAAAGGCCUACCAAGGCGACGAUCCGUAGCUGGUCUGAGAGGACGACCAGCCACACUGGGACUGAGACACGGCCCAGACUCCUACGGGAGGCAGCAGUGGGGAAUUUUGGACAAUGGGCGCAAGCCUGAUCCAGCAAUGCCGCGUGCGGGAAGAAGGCCUUCGGGUUGUAAACCGCUUUUGGCAGGAACGAAACGGUGUCCGCUAAUACCGGGCGCUAAUGACGGUACCUGCAGAAUAAGCACCGGCUAACUACGUG
rnacentral:rRNA from 1 species